UGGGGAAUCUUGCACAAUGGGGGCAACCCUGAUGCAGCGACGCCGCGUGAGCGAUGAAGCCCUUCGGGGCGUAAAGCUCUUUCGACCGGAACGAUAAUGACGGUACCGGGAGAAGAAGCUGCGGCUAACUACGUGCCAGCAGCCGCGGUAAUGCGUAGGCAGCAAGCGUUGUUCGGAGUUACUGGGCGUACAGAGUGCGUAGGCGGUUUUCUAAGUUCGGUGUGAAAUCUCCCGGCUUAACUGGGAGGGUGCGCCGAAGACUGGGAAGCUGGAGUGUGGGAAAGGCAGGCGGAAUUCCUGGUGUAGCGGUGAAAUGCGUAGAUAUCAGGAGGAACACCGGCGGUGUAGACGGCUUGCUAGACCAUAACUGACGCUGAGGCACGAAAGCGUGGGUAGCAAACA
rnacentral:rRNA from 1 species